GAGCCCAUCUAGUGUAGAAGCUCGUCCGAAAUCCAUCCACUAUGAAAGUUUAGACGAAGUCCGGAGCGAUCGGCCAUUGUAGAAAUCCAGCUGCUGGAGCUCGUCUGUUGUAGAAGCUCGUCCGGAAUCCAUCCGCUAUGGAAGAUCGGACGGAGUCCAGUUCUUGUAGAAGGCUGAAAGGAGGCCGGUUAUUGUAGAGGCUCGAUCAAAGAUCGAUUGUCGUGGAAGCUCGGAGUAGUGACCUAGUCGGUGG
rnacentral:lncRNA from 1 species